GAUUUUAUCUUUGUAUUUGCAAAAACAAAAGGCCAAAAAAAUAAUUAUGUAUUUGUUUUUACAAAGUUUGUCACAUAAUUUAUAAGAAUGACUCUUCUUGCAUAUUAAAAACGAUACCAGAUGGAAUGUGAAACCCUAGUGAGUAAGACUGAUGCACAGCAGCUAUGCUUCAACGAAGAAUUGCAAAUAGUAUCGGAGGAAGAAGAGUUGCUUGUCGUGGGAUCAUUCCGUCUCAGUGUGGAGGAAAUGGAUGUACCCGACAGGCUGCUGGUUCAUAUAUCUUCCGAGAUGAGAACUAAGGAAACGGAAAGCAAGACGUCGAGCACAAGCAUCGUGGACUUCAACCUGGCCACGUGGGACGAGAAGCGAGUGAGCAGAGUGAGGUGCCGGAAGCUGGUCAGGAACCAGAGCCUGUAUUUGGGACGCUGCGGGGAGACGCUGCACUGUGCGGCUACUGUCGACGAUGUGCGACAAGCCACCAGCUAUCCCGUGGCAGAUGUCCCGGACUUGUUGGGAGACGGUGCUUACAUUGUGAUGCUGCGGUUCAUUGUGCUAGAAGGUUUCCAAGGAGAUAUUAAAACUUCAAUGAUUACAUUGAAUGGACAAAAGGUUUCUUGUCAGUACACUGCUAAAGAACAAGAUGUACUCAUUAAUGGGAAGAACAUUCCUGUUGCUGUGGUUGUCUGUAAGGCUGUCAUCGAUGAGAAAGAACAGGUGACAGUAACAACACUGAAUAUGAAAGGCAGAUUAAUGGAACACAAGUGGGUUUCUACACCCUAUAAAAUCAAGCCAAGUCCUAAAUCAAAAACUGUUGAUGCUUGGCAAGAAGAUGAACAAAUGAUGUCGCUGUACCUGGACCACCUAAAUCGAAAACGAUUCGAUAUCAGAUCAUAUCUGACUCGCAAUCCAGAAAUUCGAGCCAUCCUAGCAGAUAUCAUGACCAAAGCAGUAAUGCUACAACCGCCUGACGUUGCAACAUUCAUGAGAGAACAACUGUGUGCGCUGGGAAGGAAGCAACCAGCUGUGAUUACAGAUGUGACUCCAGGCAACCAAUUGGACGAACAAGACAAAAACCAAGAUGUUGAACAAUAACAGUGUUGUUGAGUCAUUCAGUAACCUACAUCAAUUUUGUCUUAAAAAAUUUUGGUGACUCUGCUACCAUGAUCCCAGUAUCUAUCAGACAUUUGACACAGGAGAGUUUAGUGCCUCUACAACCUCCAUGCUACCUCUCGAAAUGUACAAAAUGAUGCAUUCAUUCUGACAGAUCGCCGCGACCAAGAUCACAACAUGGACCAUCAGAAGAGGCAUUUCCUUGAUAAUGUGAAAAAUGUUGAAUAAAUACUUUGUAUGCUUCAAGAUCAUGAUAAUGACGAUAAUGGAGACUCAUUUGAUGAAGAGAUAGAUACAGAUGAAGAUGUCCAUUUGGAAGAUAUUGCGAUUCUGUAAUGUACCAAUAAAUAUAUUUUCAAAAUUCAAAA